ACGGGACACCUGCAUCUGCCAACAAGACUGGAAGCAGGUGAGGCACACAGAGGGGGAGGCCCGCAGCUGCGUGGGAGGAGGGGUGGUCUGAGGGACGUGGGAUGCCGGGAAUGAGGCUGGUUUGCAGGUUGGCGCAUGGACAUUUUCCCAGAAAGGGACAGAGACGGCGAAGUUUGACGGUCUGGAAAGCAGAGACCAGCAGGGCUGACUGCUUGGGAGCACCAAAUAUCCGGACAGCGCCUCUCGGGAGGUCCGAGAAGAGAACCGCGAUCUGUUUCAGCACCGGGGCUCAGGACAGUUCCCAGCGGGCUCCGUUUCGUCUCCAGAACCCUGGACAGCUCCUCCAGACUUCGGUGAGAAACCUUGUGCCAAGCAUUUUACAUACAUCAUAUCAUGCCAUCUUCAACCCUAGGACAUGGGUGUUACUGUGCCCAUGUGACAUUUGGGGAACCCAAGGCCCUGAGAAAGGCAGAAAAAUAACCCACGCAGGGACUCUCAGCCCACAAGUGAAGCUGAGAACCGGGAAUGGAAAACAGGGAGGCAGCACAGAGGCAGGAAACUCAGGUGUCAUAGCUUGGCUCAGCUUGGAAUGCACUCCCUCCACCUCCAACCAGAGCUCCCCACAACUGACCCUGCCUUCUUCUGCAAGCUCCAUUUCAUCAAGGGAAACGAUCCUUAUUGCCUCACCAUUUCCCACGUGAAGUCUGUAUUGACAUUCUCAUAGACCUGGGAUAUUGUGUCUGCAGCACAUAGUCCAAUUAUUUUCAUGUUAUCUACUGACAGGUCUAUUUGUCUCCCUGUUACACUGUGAGCUCCGUGAGGGCAGAAACAAUGUUAGUAUUUUCACUGCUGUGUCCCCAGCGCCUGGUCCGGGGCCCGGCACACAGCAGGCAUAUAAUAAGCAUGUGUUGAAUCAAUAAAGGCAUCAAAGAAUAAACCAAUACAUCAAUCAAUAAA
rnacentral:lncRNA from 1 species